AUUGAACGCUGGCGGCAUGCCUUACACAUGCAAGUCGAACGGUAACAGGUCUUCGGAUGCUGACGAGUGGCGAACGGGUGAGUAAUACAUCGGAACGUGCCCGAGAGUGGGGGAUAACGAAGCGAAAGCUUUGCUAAUACCGCAUACGAUCUCAGGAUGAAAGCAGGGGACCGCAAGGCCUUGCGCUCACGGAGCGGCCGAUGGCAGAUUAGGUAGUUGGUGGGAUAAAAGCUUACCAAGCCGACGAUCUGUAGCUGGUCUGAGAGGACGACCAGCCACACUGGGACUGAGACACGGCCCAGACUCCUACGGGAGGCAGCAGUGGGGAAUUUUGGACAAUGGGCGCAAGCCUGAUCCAGCCAUGCCGCGUGCAGGAUGAAGGCCUUCGGGUUGUAAACUGCUUUUGUACGGAACGAAAAGACGCUGGUUAAUACCUGGGGUCCAUGACGGUACCGUAAGAAUAAGCACCGGCUAACUACGUGCCAGCCGCCGCAGUAACAC
rnacentral:rRNA from 1 species